GACGAACGCUGGCGGCGUGCUUAACACAUGCAAGUCGAGCGGUAAGGCCCUUCGGGGUACACGAGCGGCGAACGGGUGAGUAACACGUGGGUGAUCUACCCUGUACUUCGGGAUAAGCCUGGGAAACUGGGUCUAAUACCGGAUAUGACCUUCCGAUGCAUGUCGGUGGGUGGAAAGAGUUAUCGGUACAGGAUGGGCCCGCGGCCUAUCAGCUUGUUGGUGGGGUAAUGGCCUACCAAGGCGACGACGGGUAGCCGGCCUGAGAGGGCGACCGGCCACACUGGGACUGAGACACGGCCCAGACUCCUACGGGAGGCAGCAGUGGGGAAUAUUGCACAAUGGGCGAAAGCCUGAUGCAGCGACGCCGCGUGAGGGAUGACGGCCUUCGGGUUGUAAACCUCUUUCGACAGGGACGAAGCGCAAGUGACGGUACCUGUAGAAGAAGCACCGGCCAACUACGUGCCAGCCGCCGCCGUAAUAC
rnacentral:rRNA from 1 species